AAAUGCUCUCCCUCUUAUUAUAAAACGCGGUAUCAAAUAAGUAUCGGCUUUUGUACUACCUUUAAUCCACCUUUAAGUACGACCUUGAAAAAACGUUAUUACAAAACGCAGUUUAUCGCAAGUCCUAUUACUAUCUGUAGUACAAAAGAUAAACCAUCGAGCCCCCUAGUUUAACUGCAGUACUUAGUCGACAAACGUCAAAUUCCGACAUUAUUUACUUUUGAGGUUAUUUGUUUUGUGAUGAAAAAAACGAAAGUGGAUAUAAAUAUGUGUGAUUUGGAAUACUUGGAUGUGUUAGAAUACUAUUGAGAGUGUCCGGGGACCCAAGAGAAUGCGUCAUCGACAAAAUCUCUUCAAAUUACCUGACGACAAUUUUCGAUAUAAAUAUCGAUUUACGUUUUUCGAAAUAAUAGUCAAUUGAAUGCAUGAUGAUAAUCCAGGAUGAUCCUAUGAUGCUCAACUGGGCUCGCCAUAAAAUUCAAGACUAUUUUGGCGUUUUGCACGCCGUAUCUCUGCCAGUAAUAUGCAAUGUUUGUAAAAGACUGGAAGCUUGCUAAAAUGUACAAAAACGCCUAGAUGAGAAAGGGAACAAGAUUGUGUGAUGAAGAACAGUGUCCAACAUGUAUCAGUGCAUUUGACUGUAUAAAUAGACAUCGGAAUAAAAUAUAAUUUUCUACUUU
rnacentral:lncRNA from 1 species